UACGUAGGCAGCAAGCGUUGUUCGGAGUUACUGGGCGUAAAGAGUAUGUAGGCGGUUGCGUAAGUUCGGUGUGAAAUCUCCCGGCUUAACUGGGAGGGUGCGCCGAAAACUGCGUGGCUUGAGUGCGGGAGAGGAGAGCGGAAUUCCUAGUGUAGAGGUGAAAUUCGUAGAUAUUAGGAAGAACACCAGUGGCGAAGGCGGCUCACUGGCCCGGUACUGACGCUGAGGCGCGAAAGCGUGGGGAGCAAACAGG
rnacentral:rRNA from 1 species